rnacentral:rRNA from 1 species
AUGGUGGCUCUUAAGUUGGAUUUUCAAAAGGCCUUUGACAUGGUCAGCUGGCCUUGCCUCUUCAACAUUCUUACUGCUGGAGGCUUUCCUCAACACUGGAUGAGUUGGCUAGAAUCCCUACUAUCUACGGCAACUUCCAGAGUUAUGUUGAAUGGGGAAUUGGGGGACUUCUUCACCACUAGGAGAGGUUUCUGA